UUUUACAUUGAUUGCUAAUGCAUUUAUCUCGUUUACACUCCUGCAUAUAAACACCCAGCACAAAACCCUAGCCAUCUAAGCUUCCCUGUCCGGCCGCUCCUAGCCGCCCACCCGAUUGAGACUUCUGAGGACGUAAAAGACAGAGGAAAAAGCGAGGGAAAUCAUAGGAAAAAUCAACGAAAACAAAGGAUAAACGGGAAAAAAAAAUUCAAAGGUGAAAAGAUGAAGAAAGGGUUGCACCCUCAGAUGCAGUGGAUUUCCUAUGUGACUCCAAGUGGGAGACUGAUGCAUGUUUUGAUGACCAAGAUACAUCAUGUUGGCAAAGUCUAUCAUUUUAGAGCAAGGCGUCAGAUGGCACAGAGCCUAGGUCAAAUUGCAAGGUUCAACCGCCGCUAUGGGCAAAAGAAUGAGGAAGGUGAUGAUAAGUAGCAUUUCUGGCAUAGAGCCUAGGUCAAAUUGCAAGUAACAUUUCUGUUAUAGUUAGUGGAUUUCUUUUGAAUGUCUUCCAACUUCGAAGUUUUAAACAUUGGUAUUACUCCCAAAUAAGCAUGUGAAUUAAUAUUCUCCAGAUAAAAUGUUGGAUGGGUUCUUACAAGAAUUCUUGUGUCACUAUGACCAUUUUCUCUAUGCUGGCUUAGAUGAUAAAAGUGCAUCACCUUCUUAUUAGAGUCGUUUUAUUCUGGUCAUUCAUUUCUUUUUGAUGAGACUUGAUUGUGUACUUCUACUUUAAUUAUGCUGCAUACUGUUUCUGUGUCCAAUAAAGAUAUCAGAUCUUUGUUUUCAGAUUCAACUUAGACAUGAAUCUUGAACAUCGAGUCUUGCAUCCUUGACUGGCUUGUUUCAUUCGGCCAAGACUCUGAAUUUAAUGCAAUAAAGAAAGCCGAGAAUCGGAAUAUCUAGUUGCAAUUUAUAUUUUGUAUUUCUUCCCUGCCUCAUUUAACAAUUUAACAUUUACAAGAACCAUUCAGAAUGUCUCAUUGUAUGUCCAGCUUCUUCCAUUGCUGUAUUUGCAUUAAGCAUUCAGUUAAACUAGGGCCUCCAUGGUAUAUUUUGUCACCUUGGUGAUUUAACACCUUUCCCACAUGUGUUGACUUUUUCAUGCUUUUUAUUUGUUUUCUUUUUUGUUCUUUAUUCUGUCUUCUUGUGGAGAACUAGGACGGGUAGAAGUGAGACUGGUAUCUGCUGAUGCAUUUUUUCCUUCUGAAAGAUCAAAUUCAGUCCAUAGCAAGUUUGGGUACAUUGACCUAAGAGCAGUGAAUUGUGUGAUAGGCAGAAAUCAAAUGUGUAUCAUGUAGGGCAUUCAAGAUGAGCAUUUUUUGUUCUUUAUUCUGUCUUCUUGUGGAGAAGUAGGACAGGUAGAAGCGAGACUGGUAUCUGCUGAUGCAUUUUUCCUUCCAAAAGAUCAAAUUCAGUCCAAAGCAAGUUUGGGAUAGAUUGAUUUAAGAGCGGUGAAUUGUGUGAUAGACAGAAAUCAAAUGUGUAUCAUGUAGGGAAUUCCAGAUGGAGCCCAAUAUGUGGAUCCUUUAAUUGAUUUUUUUCAUUU